rnacentral:rRNA from 1 species
UAAUUGAAGAGUUUGAUCAUGGCUCAGAUUGAACGCUGGCGGCAGGCCUAACACAUGCAAGUCGGGCGGUAACAGGGAGAAGCUUGCUUCUCUGCUGACGAGCGGCGGACGGGUGAGUAAUGUAUGGGGAUCUGCCUGAUGGCGGGGGAUAACUACUGGAAACGGUAGCUAAUACCGCAUAAUGUCUUCGGACCAAAGCGGGGGACCUCCGGGCCUCGCGCCAUCAGAUGAACCCAU